ACGCUGGGAGGUGAAACCACCACCCUCCGUCCCCUGUUUUUAUCAGCCCUGUGGGACCUUUGUGCCAGCUGGGAGUGGCGUAUUGACGUUUCCUAUGUGCCCAUGGUGACGGCCGUGGCACAGGGAGUGGUGCGGCCAGUUCCACCACUCUGUGGUGUCACCCCUGCCCGCCGCACCCCUCCUCACCCGGGCAGGGCCCUGGUAUUUAGCGGGUACCCGCCACCCCGGGAGAGCCGUGCCAAGGACGACGAUUGGGGGUGCUGCUGGCAGCGGCGCUUUCGAAGGGUGCUGCCGGCAUUGCCUCUGCUGGGAGCUUUUCUGCAGCUCGAGGGCCACAGAGCAUGUGGAACCCCAACCCAGGUGCGCCCGGAGGGGUGCCACCACCCCAAGUGCAAAUUUGCCCACCUGCUGCUCCGGGAUACCCUGGUCCUGGCACUCCAGCAGGUCCCUACCCUGGCUACCCUCCAGUGCCGCCUGGCACCCCUGGGACCUAUCCCCCGGGACCCCCAGGUGGCUAUCCCUGUGGCCCCUCUCCACCUGGCCCCUACACGCCGGGACAUCACCCCCAUGGGCACCCCCUGCCAGGGCAGCACCCCCAUGGGCACCCCCUGCCAGGGCAUCACCCCCCUGGGCACCCCCCACCAGGGCAUCACCCCCAUGGGCACCCCCCACCGUGCCCCCCUGACUGCCAUCAGAAGCACCAUAAGAAGCACAAGAAGAAGCACUCCAAGCACCAUGGAGGCAAGCACUCCAGCAGCUCAAGCAGCUCAAGCAGCAGUUCUGACUCUGACUGAAGAGGACGUGUCCCACCCGCAUGGCAGGGAAUUGACGAAACACGAAGCUGAACACCCCGCAGGAACCACCUGCAUGUUGCUCUGCUCCUUUCCCCUUUCUCUGAGAGCGGCGUUUUGCCUGCUGAGUGAUUUUUCUUGUUUUUAGCUUGUAAAUUCUUUGACCUGGAAUUGCUGUGAGAUGAUGGGCAGCAGCUCUGUCCUCUGUCUUUCAGAAGAACCCACUGAGAGUCAUCCCCGAGGCUGCAGGUAGCAGUGUGGGGAGCAUCACGUGCUGGUUUGCAGUCUGCUGGUGUCUGCGUGUUUUUUCCUGGGUAAUGAUGCCAGCUGCUAACAUCAAUCCCACCACCCGUAAAAGUCCGUAAAUUUCGUGUGAGCUUUCCCAGCUGUAGCAGAAGGGCUGGGCAGGGAAUGCUGUAACUUUCCCCUUGCUGCACUAUAUGCGUUGCCAUCCUCCAUGUCAGGGUAAUGAUCAAUAGGAAAAAGUAGUGAGCUCACUUUCUGAAGCCCCUGAGCCAUGGCCAUGGGACUGCAGCAUGCUUGCUAGGAAAGGAGAAAAGCCUGGCAGUGCUUUCACUACAAAAUUUUUAACACGGGGCUGCUUUUUCUGCUGUUUUAUUUUUGUUUUGCCCACUGUCAUGGCUCAAGAGGACCCUUCCCAGCCCUGCUAUCAAGAAGGCUUUGCAGCCAGCCGGUAUGACUGGCUGCUGGACCCAGUGGCACAAACACGAGCAGCUCACUGUGGCAGAGGGAAUCUCCAGAAGAGGUGGUGCAGCCCAUCUCACCCAGAUUUACUGCCAGCACAGCCUUGUUCAUCCUUGUUGCACUACUGGCUGGGCAUGUAUAUGUGCUGGGGCAGUGGGAUUUUGCUUCUGCAGCUCCUCUCUGGAUGCAGUCAUGUUUUGUCCUGUGACCCUCAAAGCUCCCCUACAGCUCUCCUCCCUGAAGAAGGGAAAACACGGCAGUGACACCGCAGCAUGCAUGGCCACAGCUCCCACCACUGUGCCUGCCCUGGCUUGUGCCCAUGCCCGGAACCCUUCCCUGCAGCCACGCUGCCGGCUCCUUUGCACCCUGUGCCUGGGGUCCCCUGUGCACAACAUGCGCCCUGCCCAGCCUCUCCUCCCCAUUCCACCUCACAGAAAUGCCCCCAGCCUUGGAGGGUUCCCCUGCCUCCCUGUCCUGGCUUGAGACAUGCAAGUGUUGGAUGCAAGAGGGGCUGAAGAAAGUGCGGAUAAAGCCCAACUCAGGUGCAAUGCCACCUUUGUGGUGGGGAAAGGCACAACCCCCUCAAAAAGGGUGUAUUGGCUUUGUGUGGCAAGGUUUUGGUAGCCGGGGGGGGGG
rnacentral:lncRNA from 1 species